GCCCCGGGCCUGGAGCUGGAGUGGGGUCUCGCCCGCACGACUCUUGGCCCCAGUGACUUGUUAUAGGAGCCCAGCAUGGGCGCAUGUGCCCUGGGCGCCACGAACCCACCCCCACCCACUUCCUGCUUCUCAAGGGACAGCAGCCAACUCCAGCCGACCGUGGCCUUCCGAAUGGCCAGGAGGGCGGAGCCGUCUCUCCCUCCAGCUCCUAUACACAGCACUGCAUGGCAGGUUGGGGUCACCAGGUCUCGUCUCAUGGAACGUACUGAAUUGAGCUGGGUCCCUGUGGCUCCCCUGCCCAGCUUGGGGGUGUCCAGCUACCCAGAGGGAGCUGAUGCCAUCCAGGUUCCCAGCCUGGCUGUGCAUGUCCUCUCCUAUGAAGGCCACGCCUGCCCACCACCAGCUGUGUAGGAGUCUGGGGCUGUAGGGAGACCCUCCCCCCACCCCCUGGAGGCCUGCAGCCCGCCUGGCAGGAGACUGGGCUGCUUAUGGUGGGGGCUGCCUGGAAAGGAGGGGCUCGCGAAGCACAGGACCUGAGUGAUGCAACUUGAGGAGGGUGAUGGCAGUGACCAGGGGAGGGGCUGCCUGCCCCACCUCUGCAGGACUGACCAUCUCUGGCCCACCUGCUUGAGGCCUUUGGGGUCUGGCUACCAAGGGGCAGUCCUGAGCCCCGGGGGAGGUGGGGCCCAGGAGGCGGGUGCCUGGGCAGGAAAUGUUCCGAGGCAGGGUGCUCGCAGCCGGCAUGCACGUCUGCACCACCCAGGGCCCCGAACACCGUGAGCACCGCAGACCCACCGUGGCACGUGUCCACACACUACACCCAGAUAGAC
rnacentral:lncRNA from 1 species